AUUAGAUACCCUGGGUAGUCCACGCAGUAAACGAUGAAUACUAAUUGUCCGGGCAGAAUGGUGCCUGGGUGAUACAGCGAAAGCGUUAAGUAUUCCACCUGGGGAGUACGCCGGCAACGGUGAAACUCAAAGGAAUUGACGGGGGCCCGCACAAGCGGAGGAACAUGUGGUUUAAUUCGAUGAUACGCGAGGAACCUUACCCGGGCUCAAACGACACAGGAAUACUUUUGAAAGGAGGUAGCCAGCAAUGGUCUGUGUCGAGGUGCUGCAUGGUUGUCGUCAGCUCGUGCCGUGAGGUGUCGGCUUAAGUGCCAUAACGAGCGCAACCCCUACCGCCAGUUGCCAGCAGGUAAAGCUGGGGACUCUGGCGGGACUGCCGGCGCAAGCUGCGAGGAAGGCGGGGAUGACGUCAAAUCAGCACGGCCCUUACGUCCGGGGCGACACACGUGUUACAAUGGCAGGUACAGCGGGAAGCCACCUGGCGACAGGGCGCGGAACCCGAAAACCUGUCUCAGUUCGGAUUGGAGUCUGCAACCCGACUCCAUGAAGCUGGAUUCGCUAGUAAUCGCGCAUCAGCCACGGCGCGGUGAAUACGUUCCCGGGCCUUGUACACACCGCCCGUCAAGCCAUGGAAGCCGGGAGUGCCUGAAGUGCGUGACCGCAAGGAGCGUCCUAAGGCAAUACCGGUGACUGGGGCUAAGUCGUAACAAGGUACC
rnacentral:rRNA from 1 species